GCAGGAAGUGGGGAUCUCAUUUGGGAAAGUCUCCCCAGGCCUCCAGAAUCUCUGAAAUCUGAAGCAGCUGUUCUCCACGUGUAGACCUUGGAUGACUGACUGCUCACCUGGUAGAGGAGCGGGAAAGGAGCAGACCCCUAGCUGUUGACUACUCCUGUUCCCUCAUUUCAUCAAUUCUUGGUCUCCUGUCAUACUCUCCACCUUGCACGGUUUUCAGAAGAGGAAACCAAAGCUCACAUGUCCAGCCACCAGUGGAACUGCCAUCUGUCAGCACUCUUGACCACUGCCCUCUCUGAAACCCUGAGUUCUCAAGAUGUCCAGAAAUACUGGGUUGGGGGUGGGGCGUGGCACCAGGGUGACGAGAACAGGUGUGGCUCAGAACCAGCCCAGUAUGCGUUCCUCUUGUUCUCCUGUCUCAGACUGGCGGGGUCUGGGAAAUCUUGCAUUAGUUAUAUUUAUAGGUCUUUAAAAGCAAAACUGUUUUCACCCUUGAC